UACGUAGGGUGCGAGCGUUAAUCGGAAUUACUGGGCGUAAAGCGUGCGCAGGCGGUUCGUUGUGUCCGAUGUGAAAGCCCCGGGCUUAACCUGGGAAUGGCAUUGGAAACUGGCGGGCUUGAGUGCGGCAGAGGGGGGUGGAAUUCCGCGUGUAGCAGUGAAAUGCGUAGAGAUGCGGAGGAACACCGAUGGCGAAGGCAGCCCCCUGGGUCGACACUGACGCUCAGGCACGAAAGCGUGAGGAGCAAACAGG
rnacentral:rRNA from 1 species